rnacentral:miRNA from 1 species
UCUGGGAAACGCUUCGACUGGA